GUAAGCUCUCACUGUCAUGCCUCUUGCUCUGAUUUAGGAGCACUGUUAUUACACUGACUUCUGCAGUACGGUCACAGAUCUAUAUGUUGGAUACAGUCUAAAAAAUCUUUAGGAAAGUGGCUAUAUGUGAAGGAAAAUUCUCCUGCAGGCAACUAUGAAGUAUCAGAUUCCACAUUCGACCUUUCAUUGGGCUAGUUGGCUGAGCACUGACAGAUCUGCUGGCACUUUGAAUGCCAACCCAAACAAUUUUUUCUCAUAUGUUGAGAAUUGCCAGUGAACUGUACAAUCAGUUAUUCACACAGCUCUGGUCAGAGGCCCGAGGAGCCAAGUUUGGUUGAACAGGAGCUGAGAAGCAAGUUUUGGCUCCAUAGAAGGAUGCAAAGCAGCUGGAGCAGACCUGAGAAUCAGACUCUGUGACU